GACAGAGGUGCCAAGCGUUAGGCGGAAUCACUGGGCUUAAAGCGUGUGUAGGCGGAUCGUUAAGUACCUUGUGAAAUCCCACGGCUCAACCGUGGAACUGCUGGGUAUACUGGCGGUCUUGAGCCACUUAGGGGCGAGCGGAACAAACGGUGGAGCGGUGAAAUGCGUAGAUAUCGUCUGGAACGCCGAAGGUGAAAACAGCUCGCUGGGGCCGCGCUGACGCUGAGACACGAAAGCCAGGGGAGCGAACGGG
rnacentral:rRNA from 1 species